rnacentral:hammerhead_ribozyme from 15 species
AACUAGUCGGGAGCUAAUGCCACUCUCCUAACGAGGCCAUGGCAAGCCGAAACCAGUU